rnacentral:snRNA from 8 species
AUCGCUUUUCGGCCUUUUGGCUCAGAUCAAGUGUAGUAUUUGUUUUUAUCAGUUUAAUAUUUGAUACGUCCCCCAUCGGGGGACUACAUAUUAAAUGGAUUUUUCGAACAGGGAGUCGGAAAUGGGGCUUGCUCCGUCCGCUCCACGCAUCGACCCGGUAUUGCAGUACCUCCGGGAACGGUGCAACACUU